GCACGGGUGGCACAGUGGUACUGCGUUCGCCUGCAGAGCGAAUUUUCGGGAGUUCGAUUCUCCCCCCGUGCU
rnacentral:tRNA from 2 species